rnacentral:rRNA from 2 species
UUUCUUCGGAGAGUUUGAUCCUGGCUCAGGAUGAACGCUGGCGGCGUGCCUAAUACAUGCAAGUCGAGCGAACUGAU